CCCGUACACAUCAAGUACUACGUAGUGUAUGUGUAGUGCAGAUCGAAACAUAUCUGUAACUUUUUUAUUUCUUACGUGAUAAUAAGUAAACGCACGUAUUUAAAGCUCGCAAGUCGGAAUGCGUUACUGGAAAAUAUAGAUACACCCAAGGAGCGUCGCUCAAGAGCAUACAAGUCGCUACAGUUUCGCGUUCAUAUUUUACGGACUCGCCGUGCUCGUGUCCACGAUAAAGAAUGUUGUAUGGAAUAGCGUCCUUUAAAAAUACCAAUGGACUACUAUGCCCCUCAAAUGUUACACACAAAAAAAAUAUCGAAAUUGGAUAGUAAGAUGACGUCAAUAUGGUUUGUUACCUAGUCAAUAGUUAAUUAAUUAUCAGCUCAAUUGAU